GUCGAGCUGAAAGGCACUUCGGUGGUACUCGAGCGGCGAACGGGUGAGUAACACGUGAGUAAUCUGCCCCUGGCUUCGGGAUAGCCGCCGGAAACGGUGAUUAAUACCGGAUAUGACAGACCCUCGCAUGGGGGUGUGUGGAAAGUUUUUCGGCCAGGGAUGUGCUCGCGGCCUAUCAGCUUGAUGGUGAGGUAAUGGCUCACCAUGGCUUCGACGGGUAGCCGGCCUGAGAGGGUGACCGGCCACACUGGGACUGAGACACGGCCCAGACUCCUACGGGAGGCAGCAGUGGGGAAUAUUGGACAAUGGGCGGAAGCCUGAUCCAGCAACGCCGCGUGAGGGAUGACGGCCUUCGGGUUGUAAACCUCUUUCAGUACCGACGAAGCGCAAGUGACGGUAGGUACAGAAGAAGCACCGGNCAACUACGUGCCAGCAGCCGCGGUAAUACGUAGGGUGCGAGCGUUGUCCGGAAUUAUUGGGCGUAAAGGGCUCGUAGGCGGUUUGUCGCGUCGGGAGUGAAAACGCCGUGCUUAACACGGCGCUUGCUUCCGAUACGGGCAGACUAGAG
rnacentral:rRNA from 1 species